rnacentral:SRP_RNA from 1 species
GCCGGGUGUGGUGGCUCACGCCUGUAAUCCUAGCACUUUGGGAGGCUGGGGUGGGUGGAUCACCUGAGGUCAGGAGUUCAAGACCAGCCUGGCCAACAUGGUGAAACCCCGUCUCUA